rnacentral:tRNA from 1 species
AUUUAAUUAGUAUAAGAAGUACGUUUAAUUUCCAAUUAAAAGGUUUAAUUAAAAUUAAAUA